rnacentral:rRNA from 2 species
AGAGUUUGAUCAUGGCUCAGGAUGAACGCUGGCGGCGUGCUUAAUACAUGCAAGUCGAACGAGGAACUUUUGUCUUCGGAUGGAGGUUUCCUAGUGGCGAACGGGUGAGUAACGCGUUGGUGACCUGCCUCGAAGUGGGGGAUAACAGUUCGAAAGGACUGCUAAUACCCCAUGGUAUCCGCAGGGUUAGAGACCUGUUGAUUAAAGGAGUAAUUCGCUUCGAGAGGGGCCUGCGUCCCAUCAGCUUGUUGGUAGGGUAAAAGCCUACCAAGGCUAUGACGGGUAGGGGACCUGAGAGGGUGGCCCCCCACAAUGGCACUGAAACACGGGCCAUACACCUACGGGUGGCAGCAGUAGGGAAUAUUGGACAAUGGGCGAAAGCCUGAUCCAGCAACGCCGCGUGCGCGAUGACGGCCUUCGGGUUGUAAAGCGCUUUUAGAGGAGAUGAGAAAGGACAGUAUCCUCUGAAUAAGCCUCGGCGAACUACGUGCCAGCAGCCGCGGUAAAACGUAGGAGGCUAGCGUUAUCCGGAUUUAUUGGGCGUAAAGCGCGUGCAGGCGGUCUGGUAAGUUGGAUGUGAAAGCUCCUGGCUUAACUGGGAGAGGUCGUUCAAUACUGUCAGACUAGAGAAUGGGAGAGGGAG